GAGGCGAACCGGGAGAACUGAAACAUCUAAGUACCCCGAGGAAGAGAAAUCAACCGAGAUCCCGAAAGUAGCGGCGAGCGAAAUUGGGUUAGCCCUUAAGCUUUUAAUGAGACAGGUGAAGGCUCUGGAAAGUGCCGCGAUACAGGGUGAUAGCCCCGUAACCGACAUCUCAUCAUCAGUGAAAACGAGUAAGGCGGGACACGUGAUAUCCUGUCUGAAUAUGGGGGGACCAUCCUCCAAGGCUAAAUACUACUGACUGACCGAUAGUGAACCAGUACCGUGAGGGAAAGGCGAAAAGAACCCCUGUGAGGGGAGUGAAAUAGAACCUGAAACCGUGUACGUACAAGCAGUAGGAGCACCUUCGUGGUGUGACUGCGUACCUUUUGUAUAAUGGGUCAGCGACUUAUAUUCAGUGGCAAGGUUAACCGUUUAGGGGAGCCGUAGGGAAACCGAGUCUUAACUGGGCGUUCAGUCUCUGGAUAUAGACCCGAAACCAGGUGAUCUAGCCAUGGGCAGGUUGAAGAUUGAGUAACAUCAAUUGGAGGACCGAACCGACUAAUGUUGAAAAAUUAGCGGAUGACUUGUGGCUAGGGGUGAAAGGCCAAUCAAACCUGGAGAUAGCUGGUUCUCCCCGAAAUCUAUUUAGGUAGAGCCUCGGACGAAUACUACUGGGGGUAGAGCACUGUUAAGGCUAGGGGGUCAUCCCGACUUACCAACCCUUUGCAAACUCCGAAUACCAGUAAGUACUAUCCGGGAGACACACGGCGGGUGCUAACGUCCGUCGUGGAGAGGGAAACAACCCAGACCGCCAGCUAAGGUCCCAAAGUUAUAGUUAAGUGGGAAACGAUGUGGGAAGGCUCAGACAGCCAGGAUGUUGGCUUAGAAGCAGCCAUCAUUUAAAGAAAGCGUAAUAGCUCACUGGUCGAGUCGGCCUGCGCGGAAGAUGUAACGGGGCUAAACUAUACACCGAAGCUGCGGCAAUACAGUUUACUGUAUUGGGUAGGGGAGCGUUCUGUAAGCGGUUGAAGGUGCGUUGUAAAGCGUGCUGGACGUAUCAGAAGUGCGAAUGCUGACAUGAGUAACGAUAAAGCGGGUGAAAAACCCGCUCGCCGGAAGACCAAGGGUUCCUGUCCAACG
rnacentral:rRNA from 1 species